AUAGAUAUUAUUUGUUCCCAUCAAGCACAUUUCAAUUCAAAGUGCCACAUUCAUUGUAAUCAGCCAGUAGCUACAUUUCCAUUACAAAUAUGUGCAAAAUGUUGUCGCUAUUCUGCUAAUGUAAAAGAAACAAACACACGCAUAAUUGGAGUGUUUGCAUUAAAUAACAGUCACAAUUAAUCUGUCUGUUCCUUCUCAUUUGAAACUUUCACCUUUUGUAGUGUCAAAACAGGUGAAACUCCUGACUUUUAAAGAUAUGAGGAAAUCACAGUCAUACACAGAUUUCUAUGAAAGCUAUGUGAACUUUAUUCCAAAUCUAAGUCAUCAUUUAAGGUUUUACUAUCUGGUUGUGUACAUAUAACACAGUGAACACAUUUUAUACAACUGCUUUCACUAAACAGAUCAGUCUUUGUUCUUCACAAAACCCAAAUGUCUGAGAGCCUUCGGUCUGUGAUUUGGUACCGUAUUUAACCUUUAUGUAAAAUCAUUUUCACUGACCCGUUUCAUUGGUUUUGGAAUGUAGAGGAAAAGCUACAGCUCUGCUUCUCUGGUCAUGAGGAGACGAGAACAAGGACUCAUAAAUAAUCCACACGUCGGUUUCUGCAGUAAAUGUUUGGAACAAACAGUUCAUAAAUAAACAUGUUAAAUAAAUAAAUAAUGAAUAAAUAUAAACAUAAUCAGCUCAGUAACAGGCAGCGUGACAGCAUGUGAUUUACAUACAGGAAUAUCAGGAAUAAUUUACAACCAUCCCAGGAUGCAGGAGAGACUCAGAACGUCACUCAGAGAGAAAAGCAGCACAUGCUUUGAUUUGGUUAGUUCAGAGAGUCCAGGUCCGAGUCAGGUCCAGGUCUCAGUCAGAUCCAGGUCCGAGUCAGGUCCAGGUCUCAGUCAGAGCCAGGUAAAUCUGGUUUGGUUCUCAGUCAGGUUUAGUUCUCAGGUUUGGUUCUCAGUCAGGCUCAGGAUGGUUUUGUCUAGUUUCAGGUUUGAUCAGAGCCCGGUCUCGUUCUUGUCAGGUCCAGGUCUUCACAGUGACUCAAUGUGCCUCAAUCUUUUUCAGUUCGUUUCAGCUUUAGUUGAAAAAGUCAAUUUAAUCAUGUCUCCAGGUCACCUGCCAGGAUAUGACAUCAUCGUCACUGGGUCACA